rnacentral:lncRNA from 1 species
AAGACGACACGUGCUAGCAUCCAGUACAACAGGGGGAGGGGGAGGCAAGAACAUGGCGCCAAGGCAGAAUUUGUGCUGCUAGAUACAAGUCAAGCUUUUGAAAGCAUUCAUGGUACAGGGAGGCAUUUCUUUUGCAACUAGUAUAAAAGGGAUUUUUUCACGAUUUUAACCCAUGGGAUGAAAGUAUUGCACGGAAUGAACUCUGAUUGAAACCAUUUCACGAUCUGACCUUUUU